GACGAACGCUGGCGGCGUGCCUAAUACAUGCAAGUCGAGCGGACGAAUCGAAAGCUUGCUUUUGAUUCGUUAGCGGCGGACGGGUGAGUAACACGUGGGCAACCUGCCCUGUAGACGGGGAUAACACCGAGAAAUCGGUGCUAAUACCGGAUAACACGAAAUGUCGCAUGACGUUUCGUUGAAAGACGGCGCAAGCUGCCGCUACAGGAUGGGCCCGCGGCGCAUUAGCUAGUUGGUGAGGUAACGGCUCACCAAGGCGACGAUACGUAGCCGACCUGAGAGGGUGAUCGGCCACACUGGGACUGAGACACGGCCCAGACUCCUACGGGAGGCAGCAGUAGGGAAUCUUCCGCAAUGGACGAAAGUCUGACGGAGCAACGCCGCGUGAGCGAAGAAGGCCUUCGGGUCGUAAAGCUCUGUUGUUAGGGAAGAACAAGUAACGCAGUAACUGGCGUUACCGUGACGGUACCUAACGAGAAAGCCACGGCUAACUACAUG
rnacentral:rRNA from 1 species